rnacentral:rRNA from 1 species
GAGUUUGAUCCUGGCUCAGAACGAACGCUGGCGGCAGGCCUAACACAUGCAAGUUGAACGAUGUAGCAAUACAGAGUAGCGCACGGGUGCGUAACGCGUGGGAAUAUGCCCUUCACUACGGAACAACGUUUGGAAACGAACGCUAAUACCGUAUAAUGACUUCGGUCCAAAGAUUUAUCGGUGAAGGAUUAGCCCGCGUCUGAUUAGCUAGUUGGUGAGGUAAUGGCUCACCAAGGCGACGAUCAGUAGCUGGUCUGAGAGGAUGAUCAGCCACACUGGGACUGAGACACGGCCCAGACUCCUACGGGAGGCAGCAGUGAGGAUAUUGGACAAUGGGGGCAACCCUGAUCCAGCCAUGCCGCGUGAGUGAUGAAGGCCUUCGGUUCGUAAGCGUACUUCUAGAUGUGAAGAUGAUGACGGUA